rnacentral:rRNA from 1 species
GACGAACGCUGGCGGCGUGCCUAAUACAUGCAAGUCGAGCGAAGUUUUUCUGGUGCUUGCACUAGAACAACUUAGCGGCGAACGGGUGAGUAACACGUAAAGAACCUGCCUCAUAGACUGGGACAACUAUUGGAAACGAUAGCUAAUACCGGAUAACAGUAUUUCUCGCAUGACAGAUAUUUAAAAGUUGGUUAUGCUAACACUAUGAGAUGGCUUUGCGGUGCAUUAGCUAGUUGGUGGGGUAAAGGCCCACCAAGGCGACGAUGCAUAGCCGACCUGAGAGGGUGAUCGGCCACACUGGGACUGAGACACGGCCCAGACUCCUACGGGAGGCAGCAGUAGGGAAUCUUCCGCAAUGGGCGAAAGCCUGACGGAGCAACGCCGCGUGAGUGAAGAAGGAUUUCGGUUCGUAAAGCUCUGUUGUUAGGGAAGAAUGGAUAUGUAGUAACUAUACAUGUAAGAGACGGUACCUAACCAGAAAGCCACGGCUAACUACGUG